GCCGGUGUGAUGGAAUGGCAGACGUGACGGACUCAAAAUCCGUUGUUGGCAACAACGUGCGGGUUCAAGUCCCGCCACCGGCA
rnacentral:tRNA from 1 species